rnacentral:rRNA from 1 species
UGGGGAAUUUUGGACAAUGGGCGCAAGCCUGAUCCAGCCAUGCCGCGUGCAGGAUGAAGGCCUUCGGGUUGUAAACUGCUUUUGUACGGAACGAAAGACUCUGGUUAAUACCUGGGGUCCAUGACGGUACCGUAAGAAUAAGCACCGGCUAACUACGUGCCAGCAGCCGCGGUAAUACGUAGGGUGCGAGCGUUAAUCGGAAUUACUGGGCGUAAAGCGUGCGCAGGCGGUUAUAUAAGACAGAUGUGAAAUCCCCGGGCUCAACCUGGGAACUGCAUUUGUGACUGUAUAGCUAGAGUACGGCAGAGGGGGAUGGAAUUCCGCGUGUAGCAGUGAAAUGCGUAGAUAUGCGGAGGAACACCGAUGGCGAAGGCAAUCCCCUGGGCCUGUACUGACGCUCAUGCACGAAAGCGUGGGGAGCAAACAGGAUUAGAUACCCAAGUAGUCCCUGAGCGGGCUGGCAAGGCGCAU